rnacentral:rRNA from 1 species
GACGAACGCUGGCGGCGUGCUUAACACAUGCAAGUCGAACGAAGAGCGAUGGAAGCUUGCUUCUAUCAAUCUUAGUGGCGAACGGGUGAGUAACGCGUAAUCAACCUGCCCUUCAGAGGGGGACAACAGUUGGAAACGACUGCUAAUACCGCAUACGAUCUAAUCUCGGCAUCGAGGAUAGAUGAAAGGUGGCCUCUACAUGUAAGCUAUCACUGAAGGAGGGGAUUGCGUCUGAUUAGCUAGUUGGAGGGGUAACGGCCCACCAAGGCGAUGAUCAGUAGCCGGUCUGAGAGGAUGAACGGCCACAUUGGGACUGAGACACGGCCCAGACUCCUACGGGAGGCAGCAGUGGGGAAUCUUCCGCAAGAGACGAAAGUCUGACGGAGCAACGCCGCGUGAGCGAUGACGGCCUUCGGGUUGUAAAGCUCUGUUAAUCGGGACGAAAGGCCUUCUUGCGAAUAGUGAGAAGGAUUGACGGUACCGGAAUAGAAAGCCACGGCUAACUACGUG